rnacentral:rRNA from 1 species
GUCCAGACUCCUACGGGAGGCAGCAGUGGGGAAUAUUGCACAAUGGGGGGAACCCUGAUGCAGCAAUGCCGCGUGGGUGAAGAAGCACUCCGGUGCGUAAAGCCCCGUCAGCAGGGAAGAAAAUGACAGUACCUGACCAAGAAGCCCCGGCUAACUACGUGCCAGCAGCCGCGGUAAUACGUAGGGGGCAAGCGUUAUCCGGAUUUACUGGGUGUAAAGGGAGCGUAGACGGCUGUGCAAGUCAGAAGUGAAAGCCCGGGGCUCAACCGCGGGACUGCUUUUGAAACUGUGUAGCUGGAGUGCAGGAGAGGUAAGUGGAAUCCCUAGUGUAGCGGUGAAAUGCGUAGAUAUUAGGAGGAACACCGGUGGCGAAGGCGGCUUACUGGACUGUAACUGACGUUGAGGCUCGAAAGCGUGGGGAGCAAACAGGAUUAGAUACCCGGGUA